rnacentral:rRNA from 1 species
GAUGAACGCUGGCGGCGUGCCUAAUACAUGCAAGUCGAGCGAACGGACGAGAAGCUUGCUUUUCUGAUGUUAGCGGCGGACGGGUGAGUAACACGUGGAUAACCUACCUAUAAGACUGGGAUAACUUCGGGAAACCGGAGCUAAUACCGGAUAAUAUUUUGAACCGCAUGGUUCAAAAGUGAAAGACGGUCUUGCUGUCACUUAUAGAUGGAUCCGCGCUGCAUUAGCUAGUUGGUAAGGUAACGGCUUACCAAGGCAACGAUGCAUAGCCGACCUGAGAGGGUGAUCGGCCACACUGGAACUGAGACACGGUCCAGACUCCUACGGGAGGCAGCGGUAGGGAAUCUUCCGCAAUGGGCGAAAGCCUGACGGAGCAACGCCGCGUGGGUGAUGAAGGUCUUCGGAUCGUAAAACUCUGUUAUUAGGGAAGAACAUAUGUGUAAGUAACUGUGCACAUCUUGACGGUACCUAAUCAGAAAGCCACGGCUAACUACGUGCCAGCAGCCGCGGUAAUACGUAGGUGGCAAGCGUUAUCCGGAAUUAUUGGGCGUAAAGCGCGCGUAGGCGGUUUUUUAAGUCUGAUGUGAAAGCCCACGGCUCAACCGUGGAGGGUCAUUGGAAACUGGAAAACUUGAGUGCAGAAGAGGAAAGUGGAAUUCCAUGUGUAGCGGUGAAAUGCGCAGAGAUAUGGAGGAACACCAGUGGCGAAGGCGACUUUCUGGUCUGUAACUGACGCUGAUGUGCGAAAGCGUGGGGAUCAAACAGGAUUAGAUACCCUGGUAGUCCACGCCGUAAACGAUGAGUGCUAAGUGUUAGGGGGUUUCCGCCCCUUAGUGCUGCAGCUAACGCAUUAAGCACUCCGCCUGGGGAGUACGACCGCAAGGUUGAAACUCAAAGGAAUUGACGGGGACCCGCACAAGCGGUGGAGCAUGUGGUUUAAUUCGAAGCAGCGCGAAGAACCUUACCAAAUCUUGACAUCCUUUGACAACUCUAGAGAUAGAGCCUUCCCCUUCGGGGGACAAAGUGACAGGUGGUGCAUGGUUGUCGUCAGCUCGUGUCGUGAGAUGUUGGGUUAAGUCCCGCAACGAGCGCAACCCUUAAGCUUAGUUGCCAUCAUUAAGUUGGGCACUCUAAGUUGACUGCCGGUGACAAACCGGAGGAAGGUGGGGAUGACGUCAAAUCAUCAUGCCCCUUAUGAUUUGGGCUACACACGUGCUACAAUGGACAAUACAAAGGGCAGCGAAACCGCGAGGUCAAGCAAAUCCCAUAAAGUUGUUCUCAGUUCGGAUUGUAGUCUGCAACUCGACUACAUGAAGCUGGAAUCGCUAGUAAUCGUAGAUCAGCAUGCUACGGUGAAUACGUUCCCGGGUCU